ACCCUAAAUUCUGCAGCCACCGAUCAAAUUUUCUUGUAGAUUCUUUUUUCCAUCGACGAUUUGAAGAUUUACUAUGGCCAGUAAAAGAGAAGGUCUAGCGAUCGGAAUCGAUUUGGAACCACGUACUCUUGCGUCGGUGUGUGGCAGCAGGAUCGAGUUGAGAUCAUUGCCAACGAUUAGGUUUGUAGAUCUCGCUGCCACUACUCAUCUUUCAGAUCUAUAAGGUUUUUUUUUAUCCUCUUUACCUUCCAACAUAAAAAUCAAGAACAUUUUUAUCAUCACAAAUUACGAAAAACAGGUUCAUGAAGUAAAAGGAACAAAAGAAAAUAUAAUUUAUCGUUCUUAUCCGAAUCAAUAAAUAAAAUAGAAGAAAAAUUGUUUAGGAAGAUGCAGAUGAACAAAGCGAAAAAGAAAAGAAAAAUGUCGAUUAUAGUUUUAUUGGCUAUAAGAUAUAUGCGGAUAUUAAUACAAUGGACAAACGAAAUAGUAAACUGUCGAGGAGUCCUCUUCAAUGUUGAAGAAUCUGUAGAUGCCUAUGGGCUAGGGUAUAAUUUGUUUCUUCAGAUCUCUGAUUAUUUGUUUUCUUUGUGCAAACUAGUUAAAUAUAUAAAUUUCCUGUUUCAUAACUUUUUUGGGGUUAAAUCUUGAAUAUGUAUAUUUUUGUCUUGUUUCAUUCCUUCAAGGAAACUUUACCAGAGAAAAUUCGACUUACAACUAUUAUUAAGAUUCUUAGUGCUAGUUUGUAGAUGGCUUCUUACUUCCACGCAAAACCAGAUUAUGUAUCUUUAUUGACUGUAAACGCAUUUAAUUUUUGUGAGUGAUUUCAUGGGCUUCCUUUUAAGAGUUGGUAGGCUUUGCUACGUGUAUUGAUGGCCUUUAGUCCAAUUGCUUUGAUAUACUCCCAAUUUGGUCAGGAAAAAUACAAAAUUUAGUAUCAUCUUGUAUUUGUACUGUUUGGGUAAGUGCAAAGGCCUAUUAUGCAUAUCAAGUGUGUCAAUUCUUGAUAGAGAUUAUAUGUCUUGGAUUUUUCUUAUAAGAACCUUUUUUAGUUAAAAGUUCAAUUGUUGAUCUAGCAGAAGAUAAAAUUAUAAACAUCUGAAUAUAGUGUUAGCUCAUGGUUAAAAAUUAUAAACAUCUGAAUAAAAUUAUAAGAACCUUUUUUAGUUAAAAGUUCAAAUGUUAGCUCAUGGUUCAACUGGUCUAUGCUAGAAUCAGCCAUAAUCUAGUGAUUCAAAUGAAUAUAUUUGGAUAUGUUCCAUUAACCUAACUACUUUUCUAUCUCAACUUAUUUCACUUCAGACAAAAAGUUGCGACUUGUGCUAAGAUCUUUGUAGGAGAUGGUGGCACAACCAGGGAUAUAUCGAUGAAAAUAACACUGUGAUUGACUAUAAUGGAUUGCUUAACACUCACAUGCUUGCAUAUUAUAAUUCGAUAUAUAAGGGUGUUGCAACAGUAAUGGUAUCUUACUCAAGCUGGAAUGGAGUGAGAAUGCACGCCAAAUGUGAUCUUGUAACUGGCUUCCUCAAGAACAAGCUCAAGUUCAAGGGGUUUGUUAUUUCCGAUUGGCAAGGGAUUGACAGGUCUUUUGUUAUAAGAUUUUGCAUCAUUUUGGCCAAUUUCACUUCUUCUGCAAAUGGAGUUGGCGUCUAUGUUUGAGUACGAUCUGAAGUAGUGGAGAAAUAAGAUCUAACAAUUUCCAUUUAAACUUGACACAUCACUCAAGCGGAUAAGAUCUAGAAAGGUCUGCCUUAAUCAAUUCACUAAUUUGCAGAACCAACUAAUGCAAAUGAUUUUGGGGUUACUUUGUUGCAGACGAACUAAUGCAAGAAUCUAUUUCAAUAUUGCACAAAAAGGAAAAGGCAUUGCAAGAGGAGAACAUGCAGCUAGCAAAUAAGGAAAGGGGAAGACCUUUAAUAACACUAGAGUGAAGCAUAGAGUGAAGGGGUUGAUUAAUAGAAGAAGAUGGGGUUUAGUAUGGAAGUUAAUUUAGUAGGAAAGACUCCUACCGUUGUUCAUAAAGUGUUCGUGAUCUCAAUCGAAAGAUAGUAAAAGUUUUGAGCUACGCACCAAUUUAAACUCUUGUGCGUGCCUCAAGGGAGUUUGUGAUUAUGCUUGGUAAUUGAUUGGAGACCACCUUCUGAAAAGCGACCAUCUUUUGCAAUUAUAAAAUUUAGUAUGCAUGUUGGGGUUUGGGAAUUGUUUAUAAUAUUAAUUGAGGACAAAAAAAGAAGUUAAGUUUGGGGGCUGUAAUUCCAUGGCAUAAAAUGCAUGAAUGUGAGCUUGUGUUGUGUGAUGAUGUAUGAUGAUAUGAUCUACCGCACUCCAUAAUUUCUAAAACUUGUUUUAGCUGAAACUAGUCAAGACCUUCGAAAGGAUUUCAUUUCCAAGUUCAAUUUGUCUGCCAAUGGAAACAUUACAUACAGUCUUAGUGACUUCCCAGAGGCAAGACCAGGUUAUUACCAAUAUCAUUUGCUUGACCUUCUAGUGUAAGAAGGCACAUAAUUUCGGUAAUUAGUUUUUCUGGGCUGCUUAAUCUGAUUAUGUAAUAAACAGAAACUUUGCAAAGAACACGAACGAUAUUUGGGAACUUGAAAGCUCAAAUACAUAAAGGAGUUCCCAUAAUAGGGGCUGGUGCAGGCACUGGGAUAUCUGCCAAGUUUGAAGAAGAUGGUGGUGUUGAUCUGAUAGUAGUGUACAAUUCGGGGCAGUUUCGCAUGGCUGGAAGGGGUUCUUUAGCAGGUUUGCUGCCUUUUGCCGAUGCUAAUGCCAUAGUGCUUGAAAUGGCCAAUGAAGUAUUACCUGUAAGUUCUAUCUUCUAUGUACCUGCUGAUUCACAAAGUUAAUUCUAGGAAUUGUAUCUACAAAUUUUGGAUCGACGCUUUGCAAGCAUACAAUUUUGAAGAAUAAAUUGUAUAAAUAUAGUUCUGUAUGUAUGAACAUUGGAAGUAAUGUUGUGUUUCCUAGAAGUGAAAUCUGUUUAUCGAUAAAGUAGGAAUUUCUUGGACAUCGAAAAUGACUUAAAAUGAUUUUUCUAGUCAAGCAUUGUGAUAGACCCAGUGGAAGUGGAGAUCUUGAAUGUAGAGAAUUAGGUAUAUCAGUAGAUUAUUUGGGAAGUCUCCAGCUAACCUGAGUGAGAGAUGUUAACCUCUUUGAUUUGUCUAGUUUGUACAUUUGAAGUGUACUCGUCUUAAUUUCCUGAAUAUUUUAAACUCUUUUGGACCCAAGAACAGAGCGGUAUUCUGAAUGUUGUCUAUAUUUUUUUUACAUUAGAUGUCAUAUCAUAUUUUACUGUUUUCUUUGGUUUUGCAUUCUUAAUCCUGAUGAAUAUAAAACUUGUGUCAUAUAAAUAUAUAUAUGGAUUGGGGUGUGGAUAUAAAAUCUUAAGAACUUUUCAUCCUUCUCUGCAAUUUCAAUAC